rnacentral:rRNA from 1 species
AGAGUUUGAUCCUGGCUCAGGACGAACGCUGGCGGCAGGCCUAACACAUGCAAGUCGAACGCAUCCUUCGGGAUGAGUGGCGCACGGGUGAGUAACACGUGGGAACGUACCUUGGAGUGCGGAAUAAUCUUUGGAAACGAGGACUAAUACCGCAUACGCCCUUAGCGCGAAUGAUUUAUCGCUCCAAGAUCGGCCCGCGUCCGAUUAGCUAGUUGGCGGGGUAAUGGCCCACCAAGGCGACGAUCGGUAGCUGGUCUGAGAGGAUGGCCAGCCACACUGGGACUGAGACACGGCCCAGACUCCUACGGGAGGCAGCAGUGGGGAAUAUUGCGCAAUGGGGGCAACCCUGACGCAGCCAUGCCGCGUGAGUGAAGAAGGCCUUCGGGUCGUAAAGCUCUUUCGGGUGUGAAGAUGAUGACGGUAACACCAGAAGAAGCCGCGGCUAACUUCGUGCCAGAAGCCGCGCUAAUACGAAGGGGGCAAGCGUUGUUCGGAAUUACUGGGCGUAAAGAGCGCGUAGGCGGUCUAAUUAGUCAGAGGUGAAAUCCCAGAGCUCAACUUUGGAACUGCCUAUGAUACUGUUAGACUAGAAUCCGUUAGACGGUGGUGGAAUUCCCAGUGUAGAGGUGAAAUUCGUAGAUAUUCGGUGGAUCACCAGUGGCGAACGCGGCCACCUGGCGCGGUAUUGACGCUGAGGCGCGAAAGCGUGGCGAGCAAACAGGAUUAGAUACCCUGGUAGUCCACGCCGUAUACGAUGAGUGCUAGAUGUCGGCGUACAUGUACCUCGGUGUCGCAGCUAACGCAUUAAGCACUCCGCCUGGGCAGUACGGCCGCAAGGUUAAAACUCAAAGGAAUUGACGGCGGCCCGCACAAGCGGUGGUGCAUGUGGUAUAAUUCGAAGCAACGCGCAGAACCUUACCAGCCCUUGACAUCCCGUGA